GUAGCAGCAUGGGGGAUUGGGUCAGGGGAGGGGAGGGUAUCUGGUCAAACCUAUUGAAGAACUUGUUCAACUCAUUAACCCACCCCAAGUCACCUGCAGUCUGGAUUUGACCUGGUUUGUGACCUGAGAUGGUUUUCAGGCUUUUCCAGACCCCACGUGUGUUAUUCUGCUGCAGCUGGUCCUCCAUCUUCUUCCUGUAGAUGGUUUACCCCUCUCUGAUCUUCCUUCUCAGCUC